rnacentral:rRNA from 1 species
UACGUAGGGGGCUAGCGUUGUCCGGAUUUAUUGGGCGUAAAGAGCGUGUAGGCGGCCAGAUAGGUCUGCUGUGAAAACUCGAGGCUCAACCUCGAGAUGUCGGCGGAAACCAUUUGGCUAGAGUCCGGAAGAGGAAAGUGGAAUUCCUGGUGUAGCGGUGAAAAUGCGCAGAUAUCAGGAAGAACACCCUGGCGAAGGCGGCUUUCUGGGACGGUACUGACGCUGAGACGCGAAAGCGUGGGGGAGCGAACAGG